rnacentral:pre_miRNA from 1 species
GGCGACGGCGACCUCUCGCGCCCGGCACUGGGUGCAGGCCAUGGUGCGGAGCGAGAGGGACUGGGAUGCCA